UCCGCAGUAGCUCAGUGGUAGAGCAAUCGGCUGUUAACCGAUCGGUCGUAGGUUCGAGUCCUACCUGCGGAG
rfam:Bacillus sp. FJAT-18017 genome.